rnacentral:rRNA from 1 species
CGAAGUGGAGCAAANCCCUAAAAGCCAUCUCAGUUCGGAUUGCAGGCUGCAACUCGCCUGCAUGAAGCUGGAAUUGCUAGUAAUCGCGGAUCAGCAAGCCGCGGUGAAUACGUUCCCGGGCCUUGUACACACCGCCCGUCACACCAUGGGAGCCGGAAAUGCCCGAAGUCUGUGACCCAACCUGAGAAGGAGGGAGCAGCCGAAGGCAGGUCUGGUAACUGGGGUGAAGUCGUAACAAGGUAAC